AAUAAUAAAUAAAUAAAUAUAAUAAAAUAAAAUAAAAUAAAUAGUAAAGUUGAGAAUAGCAAAUAAUUGAUUUUAUAUGAUAUUAAUAGGUACAGUGGAGUUGCCCAACUGUACUUAGGGAUUCGUGAGCGAAUCAAUAUGAAUAAGACUACUAGGAGCAGGGAGCUUGGUGUUAUUCAGGGUUGGGGUAACUGAAAAUGUUAUGUAAUAUAUAAUUUUAGAAGCUCUGUACUGUUCCAACUUCAUGAAUAAUGUUAUGACACUAGUAAAUGAAACUAUUUAUUUUUAUUAUGAAAUUUUAAA